GAUGAACGCUGGCGGCGUGCCUAAUACAUGCAAGUCGAGCGAACAGACGAGGAGCUUGCUCCUUUGACGUUAGCGGCGGACGGGUGAGUAACACGUGGGUAACCUACCUAUAAGACUGGGAUAACUUCGGGAAACCGGAGCUAAUACCGGAUAAUAUUUCGAACCGCAUGGUUCGAUAGUGAAAGAUGGCUCUGCUAUCACUUAUAGAUGGACCUGCGCCGUAUUAGCUAGUUGGUAAGGUAACGGCUUACCAAGGCAACGAGACGUAGCCGACAGGAGAGGUGGAACGGCCACACUAGUACUGAGACACGGUCCAGACUCCUACGGGAGGCAGCAGUAGGGAAUCUUCCGCAAUGGGCGAAAGCCCGACGGAGCAACGCCGCGUGAGUGAUGAAGGUCUUCGGAUCGUAAAACUCUGUUAUUAGGGAAGAACAAACGUGUAAGUAACUGUGCACGUCUUGACGGUACCUAAUCAGAAAGCCACGGCUAACUACGUGCCAGCAGCCGCCGUAAUAC
rnacentral:rRNA from 1 species